AUUGAACGCUGGCGGCAGGCCUAACACAUGCAAGUCGAGCGGAGCGGCGGACGGGUGAGUAAUGCCUAGGAAUCUGCCCGGUAGUGGGGGAUAACGUCCGGAAACGGGCGCUAAUAUCGCAUACUAUCAGAUGAGCCUAGGUCGGAUCUGCUAGUUGGUGGGGUAAAGGCUUACCAAGGCGACGAUCCGUAACUGGUCUGAGAGGAUGAUCAGUCACACUGGAACUGAGACACGGACCAGACUCCUACGGGAGGCAGCAGUAGGGAAUAUUGGGCAAUGGGCGAAAGCCUGAUCCAGCCAUGCCGCGUGUGUGAAGAAGGUCUUCGGAUUGUAAAACACUUUUGGUUGGGAAGCGGUACCAACAGAAUAAGCACCGGCUAACUUCGUGCCAGCAGCCGCGGUAAUAC
rnacentral:rRNA from 1 species